rnacentral:rRNA from 1 species
AGCGAACGCUGGCGGCGUGCCUAACACAUGCAAGUCGAACGUGAAAAGGGAAACCUGAGUAAAGUGGCGUACGGGUGAGUAACGCGUAGGUAAUCUACCCCAGAAUCUGGAAUAACCUGCCGAAAGGCGGGCUAAUACUGGAUAGAGCGAGGGAACUCGUAAGAGAGUUUUUCGGGAAAGGGAGCCCGCAAGGGCCUUCGUUCUGGGAUGAGCCUGCGUCUCAUUAGCUAGUUGGUAAGGUAACGGCUUACCAAGGCGAUGAUGAGUAGCUGGUCUGAGAGGAUGAUCAGCCACACUGGAACUGAAAAACGGGCCAGACUCCUACGGGAGGCAGCAGGGGGGAAUCUUGCGCAAGGGACGAAAGGCUGACGCAGCCACGCCGCGGGAGGGAAGAAGGCCUUCGGGUUGGAAAGCUCUGUCGGAUGGGACGAACAUCUUCAUAGUGAAUAGCUAUGAGGACUGACGGUACCAUCAAAGGAAGCACCGGCUAACUCCGUG